UUGCUUGUUGAGACGAAUUGA
ensembl:piRNA 21ur-1447 ncRNA